rnacentral:lncRNA from 1 species
ACCCCGGCCUCAGCUGAACCACCGCCCUGGGUGUCGUACCAAGUGACCCGACAGGGCGAGCGUCUGAACGGCUGCUGGGUCCCGUGCUGUCGGGAGGAAGUGGGCGAAGGCGAAUAUACUAGGCCAGAUUGUUGAGCACAUAAGCUCAGGGUGGUGUUGGGGAGGCCCCUGGGAUCGGUCCCCGGGGUCCGUUGGCUGCUUCCAGAAGCAUCCUCGGUAACCAAGGAGGUGAAUGGGUGAGGGGUCCUGGGAAAACUGAGCAAAAGCUCAGGCAGCAGGGUGGCUGGCUUGUUGAGAUCGCUGAGACCAGCCAGAGUUACACAUAGGCGUGCUGAGAAAGGUAGAUAGCUGCCCUUCCAGUGCUUAGGUGAAAUUUAAGUAUUUAGGAACUUAGAUAUAAAAAGCACAGGGUUUGCCUGGGAGUAGUGGCACAUGAGUUAACUAGUCUAUGUAGUGCCAGGACAGCCUAUGCUAUAUAAUAGACCCUGUCUCAAAAGGCUGGGGGAGCUUGUUGUUGUACCCCUGUGAUCCCUGUCUUGGAGACCAGAAGGAUUAGAAGAUACAGUUAAUCCUUGGCUGCAUAGCUUUGAGGAAGUCCCUGCCUGAAAGCUCGAUAAGGUAUUUGCAAAUUCAUCUUCCUGGAUGAGAAUUUCUUGAAGUCGGUCAUGCGUACAAACCAAGUGUGGUAGUGAACGCUUGUCAUCCCAGCAUUCUGCAGGCUGAGACAGGAGAAUCUUGAGGGCUUCAGAAAUUCACCAGCAUUGCUAAGAAACCAUCUCCCCAGCCUGGCAUCUCCCUGACCUCUGAAGAAGGGAAGAGUUCAGCCCUCUAGAGUUACAGCCUAAAGAGCUUGAUUCCUCCAAGGCUGAUGAGCUCUGGUGACCAGUGCUGGCCAGACUAUAAUAAUUAAGAACUCAGAGAUAGCAGACAAUGGUGGCACACACCUUUAAUCCCAGCAGAGACAGAUGCAUCUCUAAGUUCAAGGCCAGCCUGGUCUUCGAAGUGAGUUCCAGGACUGCCGGGGCUACACAGAGAAACCCUGUCUCUGGGAGGAUGGGGGAACCCCUAAAGAUGACUUUGCUGAGCUGGAUUCAGCCCAUCUGGUAUUUUCUGGCUGUGUGAAUAAAACUUCUGGGUUUGACUUGU